CUUGGUCAUUUAGAGGAAGUAAAAGUCGUAACAAGGUUUCCGUAGGUGAACCUGCGGAAGGAUCAUUACCGAGUUCAUGCCCUCACGGGUAGAUCUCCCACCCUUUGUAUACCAUACCUUUGUUGCUUUGGCGGGCCGCCUAGCUACUGGCUUCGGCUGGUAAGUGCCCGCCAGAGGACCCAAAACCCUGAAUAUUAGUGUCGUCUGAGUAAAAUUUUAAUAUUUAAAACUUUCAACAACGGAUCUCUUGGCUCUGGCAUCGAUGAAGAACGCAGCGAAAUGCGAUAAGUAAUGUGAAUUGCAGAAUUCAGUGAAUCAUCGAAUCUUUGAACGCACAUUGCGCCCCUUGGUAUUCCGAGGGGCAUGCCUAUUCGAGCGUCAUUAUCACCCCUCAAGCUUCGGCUUGGUGUUGAGGCCUGCUGUAAAGGCACCCUCUAAAAUCAGUGGCAGUGCUGUCAGGCUCUAAGCGUAGUAAUUUCAUCGCUAUAGGGUCCUGGUGGAUACUCGUCAAAACCCCCCCAUUUUUUAAUGAUUGACCUCGGAUUAGGUAGGGAUACCCGCUGAACUUAAGCAUAUCAAUAAGCGGAGGAAAAGAAACCGACAGGGAUUGCCUCAGUAACGGCGAGUGAAGCGGCAAAAGCUCAAAUUUGAAAUCUGGCUCUUUUAGGGUCCGAGUUGUAAUUUGUAGAAGAUGUUUCGGGUGUGGCUCCGGUUUAAGUUCUUUGGAAUAUUACAUCAUAGAGGGUGAGAAUCCCGUAUGUGACCGGCAGCCUUCGCCUAUGUGAAACUCUUUCGACGAGUCGAGUUGUUUGGGAAU
rnacentral:sRNA from 1 species